GGCUCAGGACGAACGCUGGCGGCGUGCUUAACACAUGCAAGUCAAGGGGGUCCGUAGCAAUACGGGCAACCGGCGAACGGGUGCGUAACACGUGAGCAACCUGCCGCGCUCUGGGGGAUAGCCGGCCCAACGGCCGGGUAAUACCGCAUACGUUCUUUGGGGGGAGUCUCCUGAAGAAGAAACCUCCGGGGGAGCGCGAGGGGCUCGCGGCCUAUCAGCUAGUUGGCGGGGUAACGGCCCACCAAGGCAGUGACGGGUAGCUGGUCUGAGAGGAUGGCCAGCCACAUUGGGACUGAGAAACGGCCCAGACUCCUACGGGAGGCAGCAGUGGGGAAUCUUGCGCAAUGGUCGAAAGACUGACGCAGCGACGCCGCGUGUGGGAGGACGCCCUUCGGGGUGUAAACCACUGUUGCCCGGGACGAAACUCCUCUUUCGAGAGGACUGACGGUACCGGGUGAGGAAGCACCGGCUAACUCCGUGCCAGCAGCCGCGGUAAUACGGAGGGUGCGAGCGUUGUCCGGAAUCACUGGGCGUAAAGGGCGCGUAGGCGGCGCGGAAAGUCGUCGGUGAAAGCUCAGGGCUCAACUCUGAGUCUGCCGGUGAUACUCCCGCGCUCGAGCUCACUAGAGGCAGAUGGAAUUCCGGGUGUAGCGGUGGAAUGCGUAGAGAUCCGGAAGAACACCGGUGGCGAAGGCGGUCUGCUGGGGUGAGGCUGACGCUGAUGCGCGACAGCGUGGGGAGCAAACAGGAUUAGAUACCCUGGUAGUCCACGCCGUAAACGAUGGGCACUAGGUGCUUGGGGGAGCGACCCCUUGAGUGCCGGCGCUAACGCAUUAAGUGCCCCGCCUGGGGAGUACGGCCGCAAGGCUGAAACUCAAAG
rnacentral:rRNA from 1 species